UUUAAAUUCAAGUUAGUUCAAAUAGAAAUGGUCUAGGAAUAUGAUACUUUCUUUGUACUGCUUUUAUGUUUAUUUCAGCUGAUCAAUGCACAUAUGGUGGGGAGUUCAUUUUUUGUAGGCUCACUGCAAUUCUUAUUAAGAAAACAACCUUAUUGUCUUUAGGCUCACUGAAAGUAUCAAGACAACUCCAUCAAAUAACAAAAAAAAUUAAGAAACUGAAGGAAAGAACAUCAGGAUUGAUAUUGAGAAAUCUGAGUGUGAAUCCCACAUAUGGAACUUACUAGCAGGAUGAUAUGAGUGCACCAUGGGACUUGUACUAUGCUUUUGGAUAUAACAGAGACAAAAAAAAAGUUUUAAAGACAAACAGUGAGAAUAAGCAAUGAAUGCACAAGGACCUAUUUACAAUGGUAGGGUGGAAAAGACCAGUGAAGAACCUAGUAGGAUACCAGCUGCUUCACAAACUUGUGAGUACCUCUCAUUUUUUUAAGUAGACAAAACAUAGUCAUUGUGCCUUGUUAAAAACCUGAAAUUGAAAAUGAAAUUACUAAUAAAAUUACAAAAAUGCCCA
rnacentral:lncRNA from 1 species